ACAAAGAUGAAUUGAAGAUAGAACGAGAAACCAAACCCUGGCUGGGUUUGGAACAGACAUGUCUCUCCACCGCCAUAUUUGCAGAACCUCAAAGCUAUCAAAGAUCCCUUGGAAGUACAAGCAGUUCGCCAUAGCACAGGGGCAGAAGUCUGUUACUGAUUAUCUCCACGCCACGCGCUGCAUUCCUUACGCCUUCGCUGAUCAAAUAUCCAAGAACUCCAACAAUGCCCUCAUGAAUCUCAUCACCAAGCUCAGUGCUUUCUCCCCUCCCCACUAUCCCCACAACCUCAACAAGUUCCUCAGGUACAACCCCAUCAACGAAUUCGAGUUCUUCUUUGAGAGCAUUGGCAUACACCCUUCAAAGUUCCCCUCUUUGUUUCCCCAGAACAAGUUCUUCUUUUCAGAAGAUGAGACCCUUUUGGAUACUGCUUGUGUUCUCAGCGAAUAUGGGUUUCCCUGGGACAAGCUUGGGGUGCUGUAUGAGGAGAGUGGGUGGGUGUUCAACUGGGGUGCUUCUGAAUUGAAGGAUAGGCUUUGUGGGUUCAAAGGGUAUGGUUUUUGCAAUGUGCAGGUUGUGGGGAUAUGCUUGGCUUUCCCAUUUGUGUUUGAUGGCCAGAAGGGUGCUGAGAUUGACGCUUUGUUUUGUGAUCUGAGGUUGCUGUUUGGGAAGUUUGGUUUGGCUGAGUGUGUUGAAGAGAAGGGGAAUGGUGUGGAUGAUUGGGUUGGGUUGUGUAGGAAGAUAAGGUUGUUUUAUGAUUUGAAUGGAGGGAAGAACAUAGGGGAGUUAAUUGGAGGUAACAAUGGCGUUGGUGUAGGUGGUGUUGUUGAGCAUGGGGAAGAGGAGUUGGUUCAAGCAAUUGAGUAUUUUUGUAGGUUUGGUGCGAAGAAAGAGGACGUGGCACGAUUGAUUUUGAAUGGACCGGAAUUGUUGGAGAUUGUUUUGAAGACGGGGAAGGUCAAUGUGUUGAAGCUGUUGAAACACUUUGGAAUGAGUUCCAAUGAUGUUAAUAUUGUUAAGAGGGACUAUGCUCAUGUGUUGGGGACAGUCAAGCUGUGUAACCUGCCAAAUGUGAUGAGAGCUUUGGGUUUACAUGAGUGGUUCUUUGAGAAGAUGAAGGAUGGGAAUCAUAGUUUGUUGGUUAGUUUUGUCGCGAACAAUCGCAAAGUGGACCGAGUUAAAGGUUAUCCAAGUUUUUUGAAGGCUAUUGAGGUGUCUAAAACUCCAAUUCACAAUAUGAGUAAGUUGAACUUCUUGCAUGGCAUUGGCUUUGGAGAAAAUGCUUUGACCAUGUAUAUUUUCUCUUACAUGCACGGAACAAGUGAUGAGUUACAAAAGAGAUUUGAUUGCCUUCUACAUCUUGGAAUUGAGUUUUCAAAGCUCUGUAAAAUGAUCACGGUUCAUCCCAAGAUUCUUAGCCAAAACCCUGAAAGUUUGGAGCAAAAGAUCAAUUUCUUGUGUCAGGAAAUGGGACAGUCACUUGAGAUUUUGGUGACUUUUCCAUCAUUCUUGUGCUUUGACUUAGAGAAUCGCAUUAAGCCCAGGUAUAAGUUCCAUUUGUGGCUUAUGGAAAAGGGUCUGUCUUCCAAAAGAUAUUCUAUUGCAAGCAUGGUUGCAACAAGUAACAGGAAUUUAGUUUCCCGUGCUUUUAAAAUCCACCCUGCUGCUCCGAAACAUUGGUUUGAGCAAUUUUAUCCCAGAAAUUUGCCAAUAUGAUGACUAUGUUUUUUCUAACAAUUGUCUUUGAAACUCCAGCAAUUAUUUCAAAUGACGUUGUAAAGAUUCUUAAACUUUGUUACUUCCUCUGUUCUGGUUUGGAGUUGAAGACAGACCAUUCAAUGUUGUUGGAGAACUCGUGAACAGUGGUUUAUUUCCUUCGCAAUGGUAGUGAGAAAUCAAGAAUGACCUGCAAAUUUCUUAUCAUGGUUUCUUCAUUUCCAAUGACCUCAUCUCUGUUAGCAAUUAUUUCAAAUGACGUUGUAAAGAUUCUUAAACUUUGUUACUUCCUCUGUUCUGGUUUGGAGUUGAAGACAGACCAUUCAAUGUUGUUGGAGAACUCGUGAACAGUGGUUUAUUUCCUUCGCAAUGGUAGUGAGAAAUCAAGAAUGACCUGCAAAUUUCUUAUCAUGGUUUCUUCAUUUCCAAUGACCUCAUCUCUGUUCUGAUUUCUGAGAUAAAUCACAAAUUCGGUGACCAGUUAUUUAUGCUUCUUCUAGGUGAUUAUAUCAGAGGUAGGUUGACCAUUUCGAGUCCAAGGAACUGAGAACCAACCCAUCCUUCACCAGGGAGGGCCAAAAAGUUACUGUCUAUGUAACACCUGGUAAUGGACCUUUGGGUUGAAAAUCAAUAAAACCCUUUGUGGAAGACCAUCUCAUCAUUCCUGAAAAUUUUCAUGUUACCACAUUUUAAAAAUACCAGAGUGGCAGGUGAUAAGAAAUUGCAUGAUGGAAAGUAAUAUGAAGUGCAAUUCCAAGGACUGUUGCAUGUUAUACUAGAGCAAUCUUGGUCUUCAUUUUGUUGCAGAAAAAAAUUGGAAGAUUGUUCAAAUGAAUGCAAGUCUAUGAUCCAUUCUGUUUCUGCAGGAAUGCUUCUGGGACCAUUACUAGCUCUUCUAAUGUUUUGAUGGUUCUUGUUUAGUUUUUUAUGCAGCAGGCAUCUUUGUGUAUUAGCUUUCAAAUGAGAGUUCUGUAAAAGUUUCACAGAAAAUCUAUCUGGAAUCGAUUUAGACUAGUAUCUGUCAGAUUGAAUUGCACUGCAACUUCUAUUACUGUGAUUCUGGACUUGUGUUACUAAAAUUUUACUCAUGUCAUGGUGGUAAGUUGGUAAA